rnacentral:rRNA from 1 species
AUUGAACGCUGGCGGCAGGCCUAACACAUGCAAGUCGAGCGGAGCGGCGGACGGGUGAGUAAUGCCUAGGAAUCUGCCUGGUCGUGGGGGAUAACGUCAGGAAACGGGAGCUAAUACCGCAACCUAUCAGAUGCGCCUAGGUCGGAUUAGCUAGGUGGUGGGGUAAAGGCUUACCAAGGCGACGAUCCGUAACUGGUCUGAGAGGAUGAUCAGCCACACUGGAACUGAGACACGGUCCAGACUCCUACGGGAGGCAGCAGUGGGGAAUAUUGGACAAUGGGCGAAAGCCUGAUCCAGCCAUGCCGCGUGUGUGAAGAAGGUCUUCGGAUUGUAAAGCACUUUAAGUUGGGAGGCGUUACCAACAGAAUAAGCACCGGCUAACUUCGUGCCAGCAGCCGCGGUAAUAC